rnacentral:rRNA from 1 species
GUGGGGAAUUUUGGACAAUGGGCGCAAGCCUGAUCCAGCAAUGCCGCGUGCAGGAAGAAGGCCUUCGGGUUGUAAACUGCUUUUGUACGGAACGAAACGGCUCUGGUUAAUACCCGGGGCUAAUGACGGUACCGUAAGAAUAAGCACCGGCUAACUACGUGCCAGCAGCCGCGGUAAUACGUAGGGUGCAAGCGUUAAUCGGAAUUACUGGGCGUAAAGCGUGCGCAGGCGGUUUUGUAAGACAGGCGUGAAAUCCCCGGGCUCAACCUGGGAAUGGCGCUUGUGACUGCAAAGCUGGAGUGCGGCAGAGGGGGAUGGAAUUCCGCGUGUAGCAGUGAAAUGCGUAGAUAUGCGGAGGAACACCGAUGGCGAAGGCAAUCCCCUGGGCCUGCACUGACGCUCAUGCACGAAAGCGUGGGGAGCAAACAGGAUUAGAUACCCGUGUAGUCC